AGUGAACGCUGGCGGUAGGCCUAACACAUGCAAGUCGAACGGCAGCACAGUAAGAGCUUGCUCUUACGGGUGGCGAGUGGCGGACGGGUGAGGAAUACAUCGGAAUCUACUUUUUCGUGGGGGAUAACGUAGGGAAACUUACGCUAAUACCGCAUACGACCUACGGGUGAAAGCAGGGGAUCUUCGCACCUUGCGCGAUUGAAUGAGCCGAUGUCGGGUUAGCUAGUUGGCGGGGUAAAGGCCCACCAAGGCGACGAUCCGUAGCUGGUCUGAGAGGAUGAUCGGCCACACUGGAACUGAGACACGGUCCAGACUCCUACGGGAGGCAGCAGUGGGGAAUAUUGGGCAAUGGGCGCAAGCCUGACCCAGCCAUACCGCGUGGGUGAAGAAGGCCUUCGGGUUGUAAAGCCCUUUUGUUGGGAAAGAAAAGCAGCAGGUUAAUACCCCGCUGUUCUGACGGUACCCAAAGAAUAAGCACCGGCUAACUUCGUG
rnacentral:rRNA from 1 species